ACGGGAGGCAGCAGUAAGGGAUAUUGGGCAAUGGGGGGAACCCUGACCCAGCCAUGCCGCGUGAGGGGAUGAGGCCCUACGGGUCGUGAACCUCUUUUGCCUGGGGAUAACCCCUCCCGCGCGACGGGGGGCUGCAGGUACCAGGCGAAUAAGGAUCGGCUAACUCCGUGCCAGCAGCCGCGGUAAUACGGAGGAUCCGAGCGUUAUCCGGAUUUAUUGGGUUUAAAGGGAGCGUAGGCGGAAGGUCAAGUCAGCUGUGAAAUGUAGUCGCUCAACGUCUGCACUGCAGUUGAAACUGGCCUCCUUGAGUGCGUAAGAGGCAGGUGGAAUUCGUCGUGUAGCGGUGAAAUGCUUAGAUAUGACGAAGAACUCCGAUUGCGAAGGCAGCUUGCUGGGCCGCAACUGACGCUGAAGCUCGAAGGUGCGGGUAUCAAACAGGAUUAGAUACCCUGGUA
rnacentral:rRNA from 1 species